UACGGGGGGGGCAAGCGUUGUUCGGAAUUACUGGGCGUAAAGGGUUCGUAGGUGGCUGGCUAAGUCAGACGUGAAAUCCCUCGGCUUAACCGGGGAACUGCAUCUGAUACUGGAUGGCUUGAGUUCGGGAGAGGGAUGCGGAAUUCCAGGUGUAGCGGUGAAAUGCGUAGAUAUCUGGAGGAACACCGGUGGCGAAGGCGGCAUCCUGGACCGGCACUGACGCUGAGGAGCGAAAGCCAGGGGAGCAAACGGG
rnacentral:rRNA from 1 species